GAUGAACGCUGGCGGCGUGCUUAACACAUGCAGUCGAGCGGAAGUUUUGAAAAGAUCUUCGGAUGAAAUUUAAAAUGGAAAGCGGCGGACGGGUGAGUAACGCGUAGGCAACCUGCCCCAUACAAAGGGAUGCAUUUGGAAACGAAUAUUAUACCUUAUGAAACUUAACUAGUGCAUGCUAGGUAGGUCAAAGAUUUAUCGGUAUGGGAUGGGCCUGCGUCUGAUUAGCUAGUUGGUGAGGUAACGGCUCACCAAGGCGACGAUCAGUAGCCGACCUGAGAGGGUGAACGGCCACAUUGGAACUGAGACACGGUCCAAACUCCUACGGGAGGCAGCAGUGGGGAAUAUUGCACAAUGGGGGAAACCCUGAUGCAGCAACGCCGCGUGAACGAUGAAGGCCUUUGGUCGUAAAGUUCUGUUACUAGGUGCAUGAAAACUGACAGUAACCUAGGAGAAAGCCCCGGCUAACU
rnacentral:rRNA from 1 species